GACGAACGCUGGCGGCGUGCUUAACACAUGCAAGUCGAACGGAAAGGCCCUGCUUUUGUGGGGUGCUCGAGUGGCGAACGGGUGAGUAACACGUGAGUAACCUGCCCUUGACUUUGGGAUAACUUCAGGAAACUGGGGCUAAUACCGGAUAGGAGCUCCUGCUGCAUGGUGGGGGUUGGAAAGUUUCGGCGGUUGGGGAUGGACUCGCGGCUUAUCAGCUUGUUGGUGGGGUAGUGGCUUACCAAGGCUUUGACGGGUAGCCGGCCUGAGAGGGUGACCGGCCACAUUGGGACUGCGAGACGGCCCAGACUCCUACGGGCGGCAGCAGUGGGGAAUAUUGCACAAUGGGCGGAAGCCUGAUGCAGCAACGCCGCGUGCGGGAUGACGGCCUUCGGGUUGUAAACCGCUUUCGCCUGUGACGAAGCGUGAGUGGCGGUAAUGGGUAAAGAAGCACCGGCUAACUACGUG
rnacentral:rRNA from 1 species